AGCUCCAAUAGCGUAUAUUAAAGUUGUUGCAGUUAAAAAGCUCGUAGUUGGAUCUCGGGAGCAGGCCGGCGGUCCGCCUCGCGGCGGGUUCCUCCCGUUCCGCCCCCCCCGCCCGGUUUUCCCCCGGGGUCUUCUAUUUGGUGCCCCGGGUGGCCGGAACGUUUACUUUAAAAAAUUAGAGUGUUCAAAGCAGGCAGUUCGCCUGAAUAAUGGUGCAUGGGAAUAAUGGAAUAGGACCUCGGUUCUAUUUUGUUGGUUUUCGGAACUUGAGGUAAUGAUUAAGAGGGACAGACGGGGGCAUUCGUAUUACACUGUUAGAGGUGAAAUUCUUGGAUCGGUGUAAGACGAACUACUGCGAAAGCAUUUGCCAAGAAUGUUUUCA
rnacentral:rRNA from 1 species